rnacentral:rRNA from 1 species
AAAUUUAAAUUCUGGCCUGCCCACUGAGUAUUUGAAUGGCCGUGGUAUUUUGACCGUGCUAAGGUAGCAUAAUCAUUAGUUUUUUAAUUAAAAACUGGAAUGAAGGGUUAUAUAAGAAAAUGACUGUCUCUAUUUAAUUUUAUUAUAAUUUUAUUUUUAAGUUAAAAAGCUUAAAUUUUAUUAAAAGACGAGAAGACCCUAUAGAGUUUAAUUAUAAAAUUUAAUUUUAUAUUUUAGUAUUUAUUUAUUUAUUUAUUUUAUAAUUUGAUUGGGGUGAUUGAAAAAUUUAUUAAACUUUUUUUGUAUUAUUACAUAUUUAUAUGAAUAAUUGAUCCAAUUAUUUUGAUUAUAAGAUAAAAUUACCUUAGGGAUAACAGCGUAAUUUUUUUAGAAAGUUCAUAUUGAAAAAAAAGAUUGCGACCUCGAUGUUGGAUUAAAAUUAAUUUUUGGUGUAGAAGCUAAAAUAUUAGGUCUGUUCGACCUUUAAAAUUUUACAU